UCCGAUUGNGAAGGCAGCUUGCUGGACUGUAACUGACGCUGAGGCACGAAAGCGUGGGGAUCAAACAGGAUUAGAUNCCCUGGUANNCCACGCCGUAAACGAUGAAUGCUAGCUGUUAGCGAUAUACUGUUAGCGGCACAGAGAAAUCGUUAAGCAUUCCACCUGGGGAGUACGCCGGCAACGGUGAAACUCAAAGGAAUUGACGGGGGCCCGCACAAGCGGAGGAACAUGUGGUUUAAUUCGAUGAUACGCGAGGAACCUUACCUGGGCUUAAAUUGCAGUGGAAUAACGUGGAAACAUGUUAGCCUUCGGGCCGCUGUGAAGGUGCUGCAUGGUUGUCGUCAGCUCGUGCCGUGAGGUGUCGGCUUAAGUGCCAUAACGAGCGCAACCCUCAUCGAUAGUUACUAACAGGUUAAGCUGAGGACUCUAUCGAGACUGCCGACGUAAGUCGUGAGGAAGGUGGGGAUGACGUCAAAUCAGCACGGCCCUUACGUCCAGGGCUACACACGUGUUACAAUGGGGGGUACAAAGGGCAGCUACCUGGCGACAGGAUGCUAAUCUCAAAAACCUCUCUCAGUUCGGAUUGGAGUCUGCAACCCGACUCCAUGAAGCUGGAUUCGCUAGUAAUCGCGCAUCAGCCACGGCGCGGUGAAUACGUUCCCGGGCCUUGUACACACCGCCCGUCAAGCCAUGGGAGCCGGGGGGACCUGAAGUAUGCAACCGUAAGGAGCGUCCUAGGGUAAAACUGGUGACUGGGGCU
rnacentral:rRNA from 1 species